rfam:Brachypodium distachyon strain Bd21 chromosome 2, whole genome shotgun sequence.
CAGGGUACCCAUUGACCCUCUUCAGUUCAACCAAAUGAACUAAAAUUCAAAAUGACACAUCUUUUUAGAAAACUAGUUCAUUUGUUUGAACUAAGGAGGGUCAAAGGGUACCCUG